rnacentral:rRNA from 1 species
AGCUCCAAUAGCGUAUAUUAAAGUUGUUGCAGUUAAAAAGCUCGUAGUUGGAUUUCUGGUGGGAGGGAGCGGUCCUGCAUUCUUUGUAGGAACUUUUAUCCUCUCCGGCCAUCCUUGGGUGGAUCUUGUCUGGCAUUAAGUUGUCAGUCAGGGGAUGCCCAUCGUUUACUGUGAAAAAAUUAGAGUGUUCAAAUCAGGCUUAUGCCAUUGAAUAUAUUAGCAUGGAAUAAUAAGAUAGGGCCCUGGUAAUAUUUUGUUGGUUUGCGUACCGAGGUAAUGAUUAUUAGGGACAGUUGGGGGUAUUUGUAUUCAGUAUUCAGUGGUGAAAUACUUAGACCUACGGAAGACAAGCUACUGCGAAAGCAUUUACCAAGGAUGUUUCCA